AGAGUUUGAUCAUGGCUCAGAUUGAACGCUGGCGGCAUGCCUUACACAUGCAAGUCGAACGGCAGCACGAGAGCUUGCUCUUGGUGGCGAGUGGCGAACGGGUGAGUAAUAUAUCGGAACGUACCCUAGAGUGGGGGAUAACGUAGCGAAAGUUACGCUAAUACCGCAUACGAUCUACGGAUGAAAGUGGGGGAUCGCAAGACCUCAUGCUCAUGGAGCGGCCGAUAUCUGAUUAGCUAGUUGGUGGGGUAAAAGCUCACCAAGGCGACGAUCAGUAGCUGGUCUGAGAGGACGACCAGCCACACUGGAACUGAGACACGGUCCAGACUCCUACGGGAGGCAGCAGUGGGGAAUUUUGGACAAUGGGCGCAAGCCUGAUCCAGCAAUGCCGCGUGAGUGAAGAAGGCCUUCGGGUUGUAAAGCUCUUUUGUCAGGGAAGAAACGGUGGACUCUAAUACAGAUCACUAAUGACGGUACCUGAAGAAUAAGCACCGGCUAACUACGUGCCAGCAGCCGCGGUAAUACGUAGGGUGCAAGCGUUAAUCGGAAUUACUGGGCGUAAAGCGUGCGCAGGCGGUUGUGCAAGACAGAUGUGAAAUCCCCGGGCUCAACCUGGGAAUUGCAUUUGUGACUGCACGGCUAGAGUGUGUCAGAGGGGGGUAGAAUUCCACGUGUAGCAGUGAAAUGCGUAGAGAUGUGGAGGAAUACCGAUGGCGAAGGCAGCCCCCUGGGAUAACACUGACGCUCAUGCACGAAAGCGUGGGGAGCAAACAGGAUUAGAUACCCUGGUAGUCCACGCCCUAAACGAUGUCUACUAGUUGUCGGGUCUUAAUUGACUUGGUAACGCAGCUAACGCGUGAAGUAGACCGCCUGGGGAGUACGGUCGCAAGAUUAAAACUCAAAGGAAUUGACGGGGAUCCGCACAAGCGGUGGAUGAUGUGGAUUAAUUCGAUGCAACGCGAAAAACCUUACCUACCCUUGACAUGUCUGGAAUCCUUGAGAGAUCAGGGAGUGCUCGAAAGAGAAUCAGAACACAGGUGCUGCAUGGCUGUCGUCAGCUCGUGUCGUGAGAUGUUGGGUUAAGUCCCGCAACGAGCGCAACCCUUGUCAUUAGUUGCUACGAAAGGGCACUCUAAUGAGGCUGCCGGUGACAAACCGGAGGAAGGUGGGGAUGACGUCAAGUCCUCAUGGCCCUUAUGGGUAGGGCUUCACACGUCAUACAAUGGUACAUACAGAGGGCCGCCAACCCGCGAGGGGGAGCUAAUCCCAGAAAGUGUAUCGUAGUCCGGAUUGUAGUCUGCAACUCGACUACAUGAAGUUGGAAUCGCUAGUAAUCGCGGAUCAGCAUGUCGCGGUGAAUACGUUCCCGGGUCUUGUACACACCGCCCGUCACACCAUGGGAGCGGGUUUCACCAGAAGUGGGUAGCCUAACCGCAAGGAGGGCGCUCACCACGGUGGGAUUCGUGACCGGGGUGAAGUCGUAACAAGGUA
rnacentral:rRNA from 1 species